CUUCAGGGUCGAAGGAGACUUACAAAAGGUGCUGUAGCGCCCAUUUGUGAGUGGAACCAGUAUACAGUCGGAACCCCAAGGCGCGGCGUGUGGGAGAGAGUGGAUCGGUUCGUCGAAACUGCCCCUCCGGAAGAUGAAGUUGAUCUCCUUUUCAACGAUCAAGACUACUGCUCUCUCUGAACCGGCUGCCAUGGAUAUGUCCACAUCCGCUGCUGAAAGCGUCUCAAAUGAAGUAGGGGAGAGCCGGGUCGAUUGAAACACGGGACGAUUGAAACACAGCGAUUUACUCGAAAACCACGCAAGGCUUUCACGUCAAAAUUCGUCACUACGUUCAGCAAGCAAGACUGACCAACCCCGGGAAAUUUCAUGUAAUGACGUCACGCCGUUCAGAUGUUAUCCCGCGAACCUGUUUUCGAGAGCUGUCAGAAAAUUUGCCUUUGAGCUGGCAGUCCACUUCAGCUGCCCAUUCCCUGCAUCCUGGUCGAGGAAGAGCAUGGCGGGGAAGGACUGGUUCACCUCCUUCAUGGAGCGCAGUGGCAGCCUCUCCCUUCGGCGUCCAGAGGCCACUAGCCAACAGCGAUUGUCCAGCUUCAACCAAACAAAUGUAAACUUGUUCCACCAAAAUUUAAAGACGGUGCUGGAACGGCACCAGUUCCAGGCCAAGGACAUUUGGAACAUUGAUGAAACCGGGGUCACCACUGUCCAGGUGCCAGACCGUGUCGUCGCCCAGAUGGGGCAGAAGCAGGUCGGGUCAGUGACCUCAGCGGAGAGGGGGACCCUGGUCACAGUUGCCUUGGCAGGCAAUGCGCAGGGCGACCUUGUUCCGCCAUUCUUCAUCUUCCCCCGUAAGCGGUUCAAAGACCACUUCCUGAGGGGUGGACCCGUUGGCUGUGCAGGCAGCGGCAACCCAACUGGCUGGAUGAAGGAGCCAGACUUCCUCCUGUACCUGGCCCACUUCACCAGGCACACCCGUGUGUCCAAGGAGUCGAAGCUGCUCCUCCUGCUGGACAAUCACCCGUCCCACCUGUCAAUUGCAGCAAUUGAUUACUGCAGAGCUAAUGGCAUAGUGCUGCUGUCAUUCCCUCCCCACUGCACCCACAGGUUGCAGCCAAUGGACAUUAGUGUCUUCGGGGCCCCCUAAAGGGGUACGUAAACAGUGCGGCGGACAGGUGGAUGAGGAGCCACCCAGGGAUCAACAUCUCCAUUUAUGAUGUGCCCUCCAUCGUUGCUGAAGCCUUACCAAAGGCUGCGACAGUGAACAACAUUACCUCCGGGUUCUCAAGUCCAGGGAUCUGGCCUUUUAACCCCUCUGCGUUUGAGGAAAAGGACUUCGCCGGAGCCUAUUCCACAGACCGUCCUCCUCCCCAGGCUUCGGGUGACGAGGUCAGCGCUUCUCCAGGUGCCACUUCAGGUAGGAACACUUCAUCAGAAGCAACAGAGGAUUAAACAGAGUUCAUAAUAGAUAAGUAAAUAGUCCCAUAAGUCCAAGUUCAUAAAAAAAGUCCAUUUUUUUAGUUUUUUUUUUUUAAAAAGUCCAAAACGUCCAAUUUAACGUUUUCAGGACAACUGCUAUACUUACGGACACCCCCGGUGAGGGCUGCUUUAGAGGCGGAAAAGCAGGGAACUGGGAAGCAGCGUCGUCCCGCCAAGCAGCCUCCCUCCUCUCGGGCUCCCAAGAAGAGGCUGUUCUCGCCCGCUCCUGAUGCCGGAGUUGCUGGAGUUGCCACCUCAGCUGCUCCUCCCACCAUCACCUGGCCCGCUGAUGGAGUCAGCCCCACCUUAGGCCUAGUUUGUCCUGUUCCGGAGGCAGCAGAGUUCACCACCAUUGCUGCCUCCACUUCUCCAAUUUAUUUAGGCCUAUCCAGCGAGGACGUCAGCUGCCUCGUGUGCUCCGAGCUCUUCAGCGCCUCGAUGCCUGGGGAAGAGUGGGUCCAGUGUGUCUUUUGUUAUAAGUGGUCGCAUGAGGCUUGCACCGACGGGAGUGCACACUACCUGUGUCACCUGUGUGACAAAGAAUAAAAAUACUCAGCCUACUAUACUGUCCAUGUGUCUGCACUAGUUUGCAGUGGAAAUACUGUAAAUGUAGGCCUACAGCACAAUUCAGUUAACAUUCUAGACUGAUUAACUAACUAACUAUUAGGUCUGGGUUAGGCUAUGAGUGGGAGCUGGGCUAUUAAAUAUUUCGCUGGGUAGGCCUACUUUUCGUCCAUGAUUGUAACGCAUCCAAAAUAACAACGGCUACAUUAAAUUAUGACAAUAAUAAUUGAAUUUAGUGGACAUGCACACUUAAAAACUGCUGGGUAUAAGCUAUAGGCUAGCCUUCUACACCCUUGCUCUUGGUCAUGACACAUGGCAUGCCGAUUUAUCUUUUUCUCCA
ensembl:lncRNA